GACGUCAAGUCAUCAUGGUCCUUACGUCUAGGGCUACACACGUGCUACAAUGGAUGGGACAGAGGGGAGCAAGACCGCAAGGUGGAGCAAAUCCCAAAACCCUUCCUCAGUUCGGAUUGUCGUCUGCAACUCGACGGCAUGAAGCUGGAAUCGCUAGUAAUCGUGGAUCAGCUACGCCACGGUGAAUACGUUCCCGGGCCUUGUACACACCGCCCGUCACGCCAUGGAAGUGGCGAGCGCCCGAAGUCCGUGCCGGAACCCGCAAGGGGCCAAGCGGCCGAAGGCGAGCGUCAUGACUGGGGCG
rnacentral:rRNA from 1 species